ACCAGACUCCUACGGGAGGCAGCAGUGAGGAAUAUUGGUCAGUGGGCGCGAGCCUGAACCAGCCAAGUCGCGUGAGGGAGGACGGCCCUACGGGUUGUAAACCUCUUUUGCCGGGGAGCAACGGGCGUCACGUGUGGCGCCACUGAGAGUACCCGGAGAAAAAGCAUCGGCUAACUCCGUGCCAGCAGCCGCGGUAAUACGGAGGAUGCGAGCGUUAUCCGGAUUUAUUGGGUUUAAAGGGUGCGUAGGCGGUUCGUUAAGGCGGGGGACAAAUGGGGGGCCCCCCCCCCUCCCCGCCAUUGAAACUGGCGUUCUUGAGUGGAAGAGAAGUAUGCGGAAUGCGUGGUGUAGCGGUGAAAUGCAUAGAUAUCACGCAGAACCCCGAUUGCGAAGGCAGCAUGCCGGCUUCCGACUGACGCUGAAGCACGAAAGCGUGGGGAUCGAACAGGAUUAGAUACCCCAGUACG
rnacentral:rRNA from 1 species